GACAUCCGGUGGCCUAGUGGUUAGAGCGCUCGCCUCGGAUACGGGAUGUCGUGGGUUCGAACCCCUGCCGAGUCA